UACGAAGGGGGCUGGCGUUGCUCGGAAUCACUGGGCGUAAAGCGCACGUAGGCGGAUCGUUAAGUCAGGGGUGAAAUCCUGGAGCUCAACUCCAGAACUGCCUUUGAUACUGGCGACCUUGAGUUCGGGAGAGGUGAGUGGAACUGCGAGUGUAGAGGUGAAAUUCGUAGAUAUUCGCAAGAACACCAGUGGCGAAGGCGGCUCACUGGCCCGAUACUGACGCUGAGGUGCGAAAGCGUGGGGAGCAAACAGG
rnacentral:rRNA from 1 species